CCCAACUUGUUUAAAAUUAAUAUAACUUGUGUACACUUGCCUGAUUGCAAUUUAUUUUCCAAAAUAGAUUUUACUGCUCAAGACAUAGAAUGACUAACAACAACCACAAUUUGUAUGUUAUCAGUAUGCAAUCAUCUCAGUGAUCUGUUAUGAAACAUACCAUGUAAUAGAUACUGGACCACCACACCGUCACCACACAGCUAGAUUUGAUCUGUGAGACUCUAGAAAACUGAACUUGGAUCAGUGGAUAAAGAUACGGGGGAAACACUCUCGCUACCCUGAGUUACCAAGUAAUACAUUAUCUGAAUUAUCAGGAGGAUAUGUUUGUAAAUUUCAUAUGGCUGAAGAACUUGAGUUUUGAAGGGAGGAGGAAUAAAGCAUGAAUUCAGUGACAACCAGAUGCUAAGCAUAUAACAUUUGCAUACUUUGGGUAAAACCUCAUGAUAAUCCUAUGGA
rnacentral:lncRNA from 1 species